CAUUACCGAGUGAGGGCCCUCUGGGUCCAACCUCCCACCCNNGNNNAUCGUACCUUGUUGCUUCGGCGGGCCCGCCUCGCGGCCGCCGGGGGGCUUCUGCCCUCUGGCCCGCGCCCGCCGAAGACACCAUUGAACGCUGUCUGAAGAUUGCAGUCUGAGCAAUUAGCUAAAUAAGUUAAAACUUUCAACAACGGAUCUCUUGGUUCCGGCAUCGAUGAAGAACGCAGCGAAAUGCGAUACGUAAUGUGAAUUGCAGAAUUCAGUGAAUCAUCGAGUCUUUGAACGCACAUUGCGCCCCCUGGUAUUCCGGGGGGCAUGCCUGUCCGAGCGUCAUUGCUGCCCUCAAGCACGGCUUGUGUGUUGGGCCUCCGUCCUCCUUCCGGGGGGACGGGCCCGAAAGGCAGCGGCGGCACCGCGUCCGGUCCUCGAGCGUAUGGGGCUUCGUCACCCGCUCUUGUAGGCCCGGCCGGCGCUUGCCGACACAUCAAUCUUUUUUCCAGGUUGACCUCGGAUCAGGUAGGGAUACCCGCUGAACUUAAGCAUAUCAAUAAGCGGAGGAAAAGAAACCAACAGGGAUUGCCCCAGUAACGGCGAGUGAAGCGGCAAGAGCUCAAAUUUGAAAGCUGGCCCCCUCGGGGUCCGCAUUGUAAUUUGCAGAGGAUGCUUCGGAAGUGGCCCCCAUCUAAGUGCUCUGGAACGGGCCGUCAUAGAGGGUGAGAAUCCCGUAUGGGAUGGGGUGUCCGCGACCAUGUGAAGCUCCUUCAACGAGUCGAGUUGUUUGGGAAUGCAGCUCUAAAUGGGUGGUAAAUUUCAUCUAAAGCUAAAUAUUGGCCGGAGACCGAUAGCGCACAAGUAGAGUGAUCGAAAGAUGAAAAGCACUUUGAAAAGAGAGUUAAAAAGCACGUGAAAUUGUUGAAAGGGAAGCGCUUGCGACCAGACUCGCCUGCGGGGUUCAGCCGGUAUUCGUACCGGUGUACUUCCCCGUGGGCGGGCCAGCGUCGGUUUGGGCGGCCGGUCAAAGGCCCUCGGAAUGUAACGCCUNNCGGGGCGUCUUAUAGCCGAGGGUGCCAUGCGGCCAGCCCGGACCG
rnacentral:rRNA from 1 species